AGAUGUACAUAAUUCUAGUUUCAUAACAAAACUAGUGUAUGUUUGUUGGCAGUGAUGCUGAGAUAUAAAAUAAAGGGGAUUUGCCAAUACUGAAAUUUUAAUCUUAGUGGAAAAUUCAGCAGUAAAUUUGGUUUGAUUUUCUUUUGUUAAAAUCUGCAAGUUCUUGCUUAGUUAAGUAUACCGACACAUUUAUCUUGCAGGGAAGAAGUGCAGAUUCAUUGUCUCAGUAUUUUGGGGAUCCAGCCAGGUGCCCUUUUGAACAAGGUUAGAUUAGAUGAUGGAAGUGAAAAUGCUUACAUUUCAAG